rnacentral:rRNA from 1 species
UACGUAGGAGGCGAGCGUUGUCCGGAGUUACUGGGCGUAAAGGGUGCGCAGGCGGUGGUGCGCGUGGAUAGAUGAAAUCUCCCGGCUUACCUGGGAGGGUGGUAUCCAGACGGCAUCACUUGAGGGUCGGAGAGGGGCGUGGAAUUCCGGGUGGAGCGGUGAAAUGCGUAGAGAUCCGGAGGAACACCGACGGCGUAGGCAGCGCCCUGGACGACACCUGACGCUGAGGCACGAAAGCUGGGGGAGCAAACAGG